CUACUUUAUAUUUAUUUUAUUAUUUAUUUUUAUUUAUUUAUUAUCAAAACAAAAUACAUACAAAUAAGAGCUUAAACUAAAAACACCGAAAAAACCACAGAGGUUUGUCCUCGGUGCCUAUCUGCAACGAAGGUACCUAUUAACUAAUUGCUUAAAGAAAUAAUCUACAGUAGGUAUAUAACGCGAAGAAUCACGUAAGUAUGUAACACAUUGUAAUCGUGAGUAGGUUUAUUAAAUUUAAGGUUUAUUAGGUCAAUAGGAUUAGCACUAAUA